rnacentral:rRNA from 1 species
UACAGAGGGUGCAAGCGUUAAUCGGAGUUACUGGGCGUAAAGGGCGCGUAGGCGGGCGAUUAAGUUGGUUGUGAAAUCCCUGGGCUUAACCUAGGAACUGCAACCAAGACUGGACGUCUGGAGUACUGUAGAGGGCGGUGGAAUUCCGGUGUAGCGGUGAAAUGCGUAGAGAUCGGAAGGAACAUCAGUGGCGAAGGCGGCCGCCGUGGACAGAUACUGACGCUGAGGCGCGAGAGCGUGGGGAGCAAACAGG